rnacentral:pre_miRNA from 1 species
CAAGUACUCCCUCCGUUUUAAAUCAUAGGUCGUUUUGGGUUUUCUAGAUAUAUAUGUUUUUGUAUGUAUAAUACAAAAACAUAUGUAUCUAGAAAACCCAAAAUGACCUAUAAUUUGAAACGGAGGGAGUAUAAU